GUUUAUCACCCCAACCAGAGUGCAGUUGCCCCACAGUUACAUAGAGAUGAUAUCCCCGAUAUCAGAGAGAUGAUAUCCCCGGCCUGGCUUAGGUGUGGAGUGACGGCUACUGCGCAGCCAGUGGGGAGUAUGAAGCAAGCUCAAGGUGGAGCCCGAGGGGGGAGCAACAUUAACCAUGGAGGGGGGAGCGAUGCUCUCCUCGAGGUCAGAGGGAGAACCAAUGUCCUCCAUGGAGCAAGAAGGGGGAGUGUUAUGAGGCAUGAAGCAAAGAAAUGGAGUGACGUCUUCAGCGGAACAUGGAGGCAGAAUGACGUCAUCAGCAGAGCAGGAUGGCGGAGCAACGUCCUCAGCCGAGCAGGAAGGCAAAGUGACAUCCUCAUCUGAGCAGGAAGGCAGAGCAACGUCCUCAGCCGAGCAGGGAGACGGAGCAACAUCCUCAGUGGAAUAGCAAAGCGGAGCAACGUCUGAAGAGAAGCCUGGUGUAGUGAUAUCCGAGGCAGAGCAGGGAGGCAAAGUUGAACAGGAAGGCUGAUAAAAAAAUAUAAUUACCUUGCAUUACAUCAAUAAUACAUAAUUCACAGUUCACGCUUAGAAAUAAUAGUUUCAUAAAGACAUAAAAUCUUAAUAUAUUACAAAAUUAAGAGCAAUUGUGUUUAACUGGAUAAUAAGUGGUGUUUCUCUGGCAUUAUUGCACUGUAGUCCAGUCGUAGAAGUGUAGUAUUAGUGCUAAAAUAAUUUGUGUAGUCAUUGAGCAUGUUUACAGCUUGGGGUCACAAACUGUUUCUAUGCAUUGUCUCUCUGCUUUGUGGGUCACUCUGUGGCACACCAUUAGGCUGUUUUGCCUCUGUUAUGCCAGAGGGGAGGAGCCCUUGUUAUCUGUGCAUGACUCUUUGAGAGUGGCCGUUGUGGUGAUGUCUCCAUGUUGGAAGUACGCUAAUUGUCUUUGUGUCCUGGUUCCGUGCUCCAGUCCCUGGCAGGUUACAAUGGUGCCCAGUGUUGCUCUCCCAGAACAAUCGCUCUCUGUCUCUGCUGGACCAGCACAGUCACUGUCAGUUCAGACUGUACACACUCUGCAGCAAUCGCAGAUACCAAGCGAUAGACCAGAAAAAUCCAAAACCAUAUAGACAAAAACAUUCCUGCACUCAUUUGUACACAUACCCAUUACACUGAUAUUCAUUUAUGUGCAAACAAAUUGGUACUAUGAUGAAUAAACACCAAAUGAGACAGUGAAACAUUGUCAAGUUUGCAUGCAAUAAAUCAGUGAAUAAUUCACCACAAGAUAUCAAUGCUAUUGGUAGCCUCUAAGAGCACUAUAUUGAUGCCAAUUCAGAUCCAUGUCUAUUCCGAUCCAUAUCACCCACUGAUAAUCUAAAACCCAUAGUUUCUAAACAGAGCCUGCUGAUGUAAGCAAAGAGGCUUGAAUGUGGAUAUCAAAUAAAUUGAUUAGAAACACUGCAGCCCAGUUUGAGGGUAUGGCUUGAUAAAAGGAAGCUAAAGCAAAGUCCUGUCUAAGGAAGGAAAACUACAUAAAUACAUCUUAGUUGUGUAAAUUACAGAACUUUAAAAUCUUUAAAGACUGAUAUUUAUAUUUGCACAGAUGACUAAAAAAGAGUUGGAUCUGACCUGCAGUCAAAGAGCUGAGAUGCUGUGGAUUCUGACACAGGGGAUCCCUCAAACUUUGUUUCCUCAGAAAUGCCCUUGAGCCCUUCUCAUUUAAACUUCAGCCCCUGUUAUGUGCCUUUUCAAUUAAGCCUGUCUUAAGAUAUACCUGUCUUUCCCUUUUCUCUUAUUUCUUGCUUUCUCUUUUUAUCCCUUUUCCUAACCAGUGUUGGGUAAGUUACUCAAAAAAAAGUAAUCCACUACAGACGACUAAUUACUACUUUAAAAUUGUAAUCUGAUUACAUUACUGAUUACUGCAUGUAAAAAAGUAAUCACAUUACUAAUUACUUUCAAGUUACUUUCAAAACCUUUCAAACCUACAAAAAUAACACUACAAACACUACAAAGUGAAACUCAGUUCUUUCAGUGAUUUUAGCGUGCGUCAAUGAUCGGAAAAAGUUGGAUUUAUCAUAAAACUUGCCUCGGGUGUUGUCACUGUUUGUAGGACUACCAGACUGAUAAAAUAGAAAACUUUUCUAACUAGACUAGUCUCGUGUCACUAACCAAGCAGAGGCACAGCUAAGCUAUUGUUGUAUGGGUUUAGCUGCUACAGUGCCAUGCAAAGUACAUUAUCUUUCCAUAUGCUAUGCUCAUAUCAUGUUUACGAAAACUGGAACUCAUAUAGACAUUUACACACCUUGUUUUCCUGCUCAGCAUGAGAGGAUGUUAGUGUUUCAGUUUCAACCCAUUUACU
ensembl:lncRNA